rnacentral:rRNA from 1 species
CCUACGGGUGGCAGCAGUGAGGAAUAUUGGUCAAUGGGCGGGAGCCUGAACCAGCCAAGUCGCGUGAGGGACGACGGUCCUAUGGAUUGUAAACCUCUUUUGUCGGGGAACAAAGGCGCCCACGGGUGGGCGGAUGAGUGUACCCGAAGAAACAGCAUCGGCUAACUCCGUGCCAGCAGCCGCGGUAAUACGGAGGAUGCGAGCGUUAUCCGGAUUUAUUUGGUUGAAAGGGUGCGUAGGCGGACAGUCAAGUCAGCGGUAAAAAUGCGGGGCUAAAAGCCGUACAGCCGUUGAAACGGGCAGUGUGAAGUGGGCGAGAAGUAUGCGGAAUGCGUGGUGUAGCGGUGAAAUGCAUAGAUGUCACGCAGAACUCCGAUUGCGAAGGCAGCAUACCGGCGCCCGACUGACGCUGAGGAACGAAAGCGUGGGUAUCGAACAGGAUUAGAUACCCGAGUAGUC